GCCCGAGUUGUAAUUUGCAGAGGAUGUUUAUGGUGCGGUACCUUCCGAGUUCCCUGGAACGGGACGCCACAGAGGGUGAGAGCCCCGUCUGGUUGGAUACCAAACCUGUGUUAAACUCCUUCAACGAGUCGAGUAGUUUGGGAAUGCUGCUCUAAAUGGGAGGUAAAUCUCUUCUAAAGCUAAAUACCGGCCAGAGACCGAUAGCGCACAAGUAGAGUGAUCGAAAGAUGAAAAGCACCUUGAAAAGGGGGUUAAACAGUACGUGAAAUUGUUAAAAGGGAAGCGUUUAUGACCAGACUUGUGUCGUGUGGCUCAUCCGAGGUUCUCCCCGGUGCACUCCACACGGCUCAGGCCAACAUCGGUUCUUGUUGGGGGAUAAGAACAGUAGGAACGUAGCCCUCUUCGGCGGGUGUUAUAGCCUAUUGUACGAUACCCUGAUGGGGACCGAGGACCGCGCU
rnacentral:rRNA from 1 species